rnacentral:rRNA from 1 species
UGACAGAGGUGGAUCGAACUGGAGCUCGGCUUCUCGCUGAGCCGUCCUGCGGCCCCCUGUCCACGUCGUCGGUCGGCGCGGAGCGGGGCACGAGACGUCCGAGGGCAUCCGGAGCUGGGCCGGAGCUGUCCUCCUCGAGCUCGGCUGAGCCGUCUUCCUCAUAUCGUCGUCUGUACGGGCACUCAAAGAGAGAGAUUAGGGGAACUUUGAUGUAAGGGCUAGACCUCGCCCUCCGGUCCCUACGGAGCAUACACAGAGGCAUUAAAAGAAGAGUCAAACUGUUCCUUAUACGGAUACCAUGAGAAGACUAAAACCCACAUCUAAGACUAAAACAACCGUUUUGUUACCGUCUAAAGAGGUAAUCGAAUAUACUAAACCCCGACUAAAAGGAACACACUAAGGACAAGUACCGGAACGACACCCUCUAACGUUUUCACUUCACUUAAUUCACACUUUUUUAUCGUCCUCGUUACGGACCCGACAUCUAAAGAGGUAAUCAAAUCAGUACCGAUUAUACUUGAAGAGAUAAUAUAAUGAAUACCUAACAAGUCAUUUUACUUUGGAGUACCACACCGUACAGUGGAGGGAACGUGUAUAUGAACAUGGGUUAAAUCCGGUAGUCAUCUUGACAGAUAUAACAUGUCCAGUUGAUUAUGUGUCGUGGGGCCGCCGGCCACGUAUGUAUAUUGACGUGCGUGUGUGUCGCGGUGGACUGAGGAUAAAGAAGUCACGUCGUGGCACUGUACCGGUAUGAGACAUACCUGUGUCACCGUCUAAUGUUUGAGACACGUUAUCACCUAGAUUAUUUGUUCUACAGAAUCCAAACUUUCGUUGUACGUCUAUUCCUCUAUUGAAACCUAUACAAUAAUAGAAAUGGUAAUAUGCAUAUAUUAAAGAAUUACAUGCUACCUCGACUGGAGUGCCCAACUGACUGCCGCUGUGCUUUCAACCUCCCUCGGUUGGUAGAGAUGCCGGGUACGAGGAGAACGGUUGCUACUGGCGCGGCACUUGGUCCCGACGGCGAGCUCGAGGAGGACCCAGGUCCAGUACGAUACAAAAUCACGAGUACCUCAAGGAGACCGUAUGCAACCAAGACCACUAGGCAUAUUUUGUAUCUACCUUCUGAUACCUAGAAUAGUACCUACUCGAGUUUCUAUGUCCUUAGAGUUUAGGUACAUAUGUAGUUAGUGUGAGUAUGGGCGAUACAGUGUAUUCGUUGAAGUCAACAGGAAGCGAACACUUAAGUGGUAGGUUUAUAAAAACAAAAUAACCUCUCGUGUAUUUUAUAAACCUCUUAGUUUCCACUUACAUUUAUUUUGUGAGUGACAUACAAACGUACGUGUACUAGUCAUGGAGGUAAAAGGAAACAUCAUUAUGAUUCUAUGUUUGUAAUAAACACAAGUGAAAAACCGGUAAAGUAUGGAUACAGCAGUUCUAAGACAAGACUACAUCUUAUAAGUCAAAUCAAACCGGACGUAAACAGGGUCUCUCGCUCACAAGUGUCCAGGUCACGAAUACAUUCAAUAAUAAAUCAGUUCGAAUACAUUCAAUAAUAAAUCAGUUCUAAGGCAAGACUACGUAUUAUCGAUUAUUGAACGGAGAAUUCAACAGAGAUGUUUGAUUUUAAACUUGAAAUUUUGAAUAGAUCGGUAUCAAAAACGUCGUUCUUAUCGUACUGAAUAAAAUAGAGGAAAAGCUCGACCUUGUGAACCGAUAACACUAAAAAGAAACAUCUGAAAGGAUAUGAUAUGUUUUACAUACAACACCUCUUUAAUAUUUGACGCAAUGUUUAACAACAUUACAACACAUCUUUGACUUGUCCCUGUUCGUGUACUUUAAUAUACAACACCAUCUAAAGUUUUCUCUGGGUCCCGGGUCUCAUCAAAACGUUUUUACCUCCUAUGGUCUGACUGGGUACCUCGUACUCUAGGAGGAACAGUCCCCGGUGGAAUGAACAUACCGAAGUCCGACUCCUCUGGGAAGAUUAAUUCUUCUAAACACGACGACGAUAACGCAAGAAGUCAAAGACCAGUAACCAAGUAGACGUUUACACACCUGGAGUGAGGGAAAACGAGCUAACGAGGUGGAACGAGGAAACCGACUAAUAUUAUCGAUAAAGGCGUCGGGUACUGCUACCAACUCUCUAGGUCCGUCGCAGGUCUAACGACAAUAGUAGGAGGUAGUUGUUUUGGUACCCCAGGAACACCCUCGACGUAUGUUUCAAUGUUUGGGCACACCUACAUAAACCAACCAUCGACGUUGUCGGACGGUUAGCCUAUUCUCUUCGGUUCCCCGGUAGUCGCUACCACAUCGAAGUCGUAGGACAGUUAACCUCCUCUCCGGUUCCUCAGUAGCCGUUCUUCGUUGGAAUAGGACCUUGAACUUCACCUCAUUACCAAUUGUUACAAAAUCCCUAGUAUACAAAAGAAAACAAGUGUGAACUCUCGUUGUUCGUAAUUCUACAAUGCUAUUUAAUACAUGGUUUCAAACGAAACAGGCACCAGUAUAGAUACACACAAUUAAAUAAAAGGAUGUCAGUAUAGCUACAAUAAUAGGGAUACUCAACAGGGGAAACAAGAUAUCAUCGCAUUAGUCUCGCUCUUUAAAUUUAC